CUUUAGCAACAAUCAAUUGGAGGGCAAGUCUGGUGCCAGCAGCCGCGGUAAUUCCAGCUCCAAUAGCGUAUAUUAAAGUUGUUGCGGUUAAAAAGCUCGUAGUCUGAGGUCUGUUCCGGACUGGCUGGGGAGGUCACCGCCCGGUGCUUGCCCGUCAGGUUCCGAACAGCUUCCGCCGCGAGCGGAAGCCAAGCUGGUUCUGCCGGGGUGCUCUUGACCGAGUGUCCCGCGCGGCCGGCCGGUUCACCUUGAACAAAUGAGAGUGCUCAAAGCAGGCUACUCUUAAAACUAAAGCCCGAAUGUUAACUGCAUGGAAUGAUGAAAGAUGAUCUCGGUUCUAUUUUGACUGGCUUUGAGAACCCGAGUUAAUGAUAAACAGGGACUGUCGGGGGCAUCCGUACUACGACGCGAGAGGUGAAAUUCAGUGACCGUCGUAGGACGAACAACAGCGAAAGCAUUUGCCAAGAAUGUCUUCGUUGAUCAAGAACGAAAGUUAGAGGAUCGAAGGCGAUCAGAUACCGCCCUAGUUCUAACCCUAAACGAUGCUGACUAGCAAUUCGCCGUCGUUAUUCCCAUGACGUGGCGAGACGCCCCCGGGAAACCUCAAGUCUUUGAGUUCCGGGGGUAGUAUGGUUGCAAAACUGAAACUUAAAGGAAUUGACGGAAGGGCACCACCAGGAGUGGAGCCUGCGGCUUAAUUUGACUCAACACGGGAAACCUCACCAGGCCCGGACACCAGAAGGAUUGACAGAUUAAGAGCUCUUUCUCGAUUUGGUGGGUGGUGGUGCAUGGCCGUUCUUAGUUGGUGGAGUGAUUUGUCUGGUUAAUUCCGGUAACGAACGAGACUCUGGCCUACUAACUAGUGGAUGGGUGUUCUGGUAWSGGGCCCCAUCCGAUAAUGUCUUCUUAGAGGGAUGAGCAGCGAGUAUAGCUGCAGGAGAUUGAGCAAUAACAGGUCUGUGAUGCCC
rnacentral:rRNA from 1 species